AAAACAAAACAAAAAACAGCAGAUUAACGAAAGUUUGGAGAGGAGAUUUUUAUUGAAUAUUUUUUUACUUGUUAAAGGAAGGGGAGCGGGGCAGCCUUUGUCUGGCAAAGCGCAAGAGAAAUGUACCAAGACAAUGAUGACAUAAUGCAAAAUAUCCAAAGUGGUUAAGAUGACUGACGUGUUUCCUUACCACAGAGAAACAUAAGAACAAAAUCAAGUGCAAAGUAGAUUUCAGGAAAUCUUUUCAAAAGAACUAUAGGCUCGAUGGACACAACAGGAAUGCCCAUUUCCUGCUUGCAUGUUUUUCAAGCAUUAAAAACACCAACAUCACCAGGCCUCCAUGAGAUUGUGAGGAUGUCAUGAUGACUAACAAGAGCCAUUUAUACCAGACCAGUUGCCACACUCGUAUGGAAGAAAUUUGCUCGAUAGACUCUUGUUGUUCUAAACCACUCUGUUUAAUCAGCAUGCAGGAAUUCGCUCUUUGUAACACAAAACAGCUACGCUUUUAGGAAAGGAGAGGGCAGUUUCACAAUACUGAUGAAGCACAAAAAAAAAAAAAAAAAAACACAUCAGCAUCGGGAACAUAUUACAGAUCGGAGAAGGAUAAAUGUAUUUUCUCAGUUUAGGCUACACACACACACACACACACACACACACACACACACACACACUACACAGCCAGUGGAAGCCCUUUCUCAACUUUAACAACCAAUUUAACAAUAUUUAUAUACAUAAGAUUAAAGCAUGAUGAUACAUUUUAACACGUGUUGGGCCUGGAUUUAGAUUUCUUUUUUUUGCCUUUUACCAAACACAUUUCUCCUUUUUAUUUUAUAAUAUCAGCCCUGAUUUCAUUUAAAAUAUAUAUGAGAAGUAAAAUAUGAACAUGAUCACACUGUGCUUAUACCGAAUAUAUCAAACACUAAACUUUCAGCAAAAGGAUGGCAAAAGCAGACAACUGAACACGUUGAGUGAUUUGUGUUUUGCUUGUUUUACUCCCACUUGUAAAGACACGAUCAGAUCGUUUACACUACAAAUGCAUUCCUAUAGAAGGCCGUGAGCCAGUGGAAAUGAACUGGAUCAAAGAUUAACUAAAGCUCGUGAAAGAAAACCAGAGAACUCAGAGGGAACACAUCCAGUCAGUCAUAUGGAUUCAAGCUGAGAGAUUUGCUGGCACCUUUAAUGAAAAUUAACAAAACUGCAAAUGUAAAAUCUACUGUUAAAAAUGUAUUUGCACUGUUUUAUCUGUCACAUGACUUGACAGAUCUUAGCAAGUCUGGCAGACAUCGUGUCAUCAGUGCCAACCCAUCAGCUGAAACGUAAGCCCAGGCCACUCAGGUGCUUGUUCAGUCCCCUGUUAUUUUGAGACCGGACUACUGCAACUUAUUCCUGGCAGGUCUACCUUCGAGUGCAAUUGACCCAAAAUGCAGCUUGCAAGUUGUCAGCUUUGUAAGUUCUCCCCCACAAUGCCAUUGAUUCUCUCCCUCCACUGACUUUCUGUGGAAAUCCACAUCAGAUUUUGCCUACAAAGCCAGAAACAGACCAGCACCCAAUUACCUCUAAGCACUUAUCUCACCCCACACCAUGUUCCCUCAGAUUCUCCACCACUGCUUGAAUGGUUCCACCAUCUCUCAGGGAGCUUUCUCUAUUUUGGCACCUAGGUGAUGGAAUAUCCAAACAGCUGAGUAACUGUCAGUCCUUAAACAACAUCUAAAGACCUUCAUCUUCCUGAAGUGCUUACAGUGUUGUCUGUAUGCCCAGUAAAUUUUGCCUGGAUAAAAGAGUUAUGUUUUUUUAUUGAUGGUAUUCUUAGUCCAUGACCAAGUGAACCAGUAUGAAGAGCUAUUUACUGAUAGAGAUAAAGCACUUCAGCAUAUAACUCUACAUCAGGGCAUCUGGCAAAUGGUAAAUGAUAACGACUUGUGUGGGCCAGCUGUUUUUAAAUAAACAAAUAAGUAAACAUGAACCAUACCUCAGAAACACUGAACAAAAACCAAGAGGUAAAAUCGUCUGAAAGUUCCUCAAACUUAAACAUUACAGGAAAUUUCACAAUUUUACUUACAUAAAAGAUAAAACAUAAAGUGACCUUUUUUGCUUCUAUCUCUAUCUCUAGUUUCCACCAUGUGAACUUUUCUGCCAAGGUUUUUCAAACAUAAUAAACACUGCACCUUCUAUUCAUAUGUGGUUUCCACAAAAUAUCCCAGAGAAAUAGGACAUGGCUACAAAGUAUACAGCAUAUCCUUGGGCUUGAAAUCAAUUAAGGAGAAAAAUGAAUUGCUUACAUGCCAAGUUGUCAAUUCUCUAUCAUUUCUCCUUAAUAAAAUCUUGUUUUUUUUUAUUUUAAAGCCUUCCAGCAUGGCACAGUUACACAAAAAUGUAUGUAAUAAUAAAAAAAAAAAAAACAUGAUUACACAUUUACAAGGUCAUAAUGCAGAAAUGGAUCAUUACAAAAUACAAUCAAAUAGACUUUAGAACAGACAAACCCCAACCCCCAACCUCCACCCUCCACCU